rnacentral:rRNA from 1 species
AGCGAACGCUGGCGGCAGGCCUAACACAUGCCAGUCGAACGGAUCCUUCGGGAUUAGUGGCGGACGGGUGAGUAACACGUGGGAACGUGCCCUUUGGUUCGGAACAACUCAGGGAAACUUGAGCUAAUACCGGAUGUGCCCUUCGGGGGAAAGAUUUAUCGCCAUUGGAGCGGCCCGCGUCUGAUUAGCUAGUUGGUGAGGUAACGGCCCACCAAGGCGACGAUCAGUAGCUGGUCUGAGAGGAUGAUCAGCCACACUGGGACUGAGACACGGCCCAGACUCCUACGGGAGGCAGCAGUGGGGAAUCUUGCGCAAUGGGCGAAAGCCUGACGCAGCCAUGCCGCGUGAAUGAUGGAGGUCUUAGGAUUGUAAAAUUCUUUCAGCGGGGACGAUAAUGACGGUACCCGCAGAAGAAGCUCCGGCUAACUUCGUG